CGGAGGGUGCGAGCGUUGUUCGGAAUUAUUGGGCGUAAAGCGCGUGUAGGCGGCUCCUUAAGUCUGAUGUGAAAGCCCCGGGCUCAACCUGGGAAGUGCAUUGGAAACUGGGGAACUUGAAUACGGGAGAGGGUAGUGGAAUUCCUGGUGUAGGAGUGAAAUCCGUAGAUAUCAGGAGGAACACCGGUGGCGAAGGCGGCUACCUGGACCGAUAUUGACGCUGAGACGCGAAGGCGUGGGGAGCAAACAGGAUUAGAUACCCUGGUAGUCCACGCCGUAAACGAUGAGUACUAGGUGUUGCGGGUAUUGACCCCUGCAGUGCCGCAGCUAACGCAUUAAGUACUCCGCCUGGGAAGUACGGUCGCAAGACUA
rnacentral:rRNA from 1 species